GGCCCCGUCGUCUAGAGGCCUAGGACAUCAGGUUUUCAUCCUGAAGAUCGCGGGUUCGAAUCCCGCCGGGGUCA
rnacentral:tRNA from 1 species